rnacentral:rRNA from 1 species
GUCGAGCGGACCGACGGGAGCUUGCUCCCUUAGGUCAGCGGCGGACGGGUGAGUAACACGUGGGUAACCUGCCUGUAAGACUGGGAUAACUCCGGGAAACCGGGGCUAAUACCGGAUGCUUGAUUGAACCGCAUGGUUCAAUCAUAAAAGGCGGCUUCGGCUGCCGUUUACAGAUGGACCCGCGGCGCAUUAGCUAGUUGGUGAGGUAAUGGCUCACCAAGGCGACGAUGCGUAGCCGACCUGAGAGGGUGAUCGGCCACACUGGGACUGAGACACGGCCCAGACUCCUACGGGAGGCAGCAGUAGGGAAUCUUCCGCAAUGGACGAAAGUCUGACGGAGCAACGCCGCGUGAGUGAUGAAGGUUUUCGGAUCGUAAAGCUCUGUUGUUAGGGAAGAACAAGUACCGUUCGAAUAGGGCGGUACCUUGACGGUACCUAACCAGAAAGCCACGGCUAACUACGUGCCAGCAGCCGCGGUAAUACGUAGGUGGCAAGCGUUGUCCGGAAUUAUUGGGCGUAAAGCGCGCGCAGGCGGUUUCUUAAGUCUGAUGUGAAAGCCCCCGGCUCAACCGGGGAGGGUCAUUGGAAACUGGGGAACUUGAGUGCAGAAGAGGAGAGUGGAAUUCCACGUGUAGCGGUGAAAUGCGUAGAGAUGUGGAGGAACACCAGUGGCGAAGGCGACUCUCUGGUCUGUAACUGACGCUGAGGCGCGAAAGCGUGGGGAGCGAACAGGAUUAGAUACCCUGGUAGUCCACGCCGUAAACGAUGAGUGCUAAGUGUUAGAGGGUUUCCGCCCUUUAGUGCUGCAGCAAACGCAUUAAGCACUCCGCCUGGGGAGUACGGGUCGCAAGACUGAAACUCAAAGGAAUUGACGGGGGCCCGCACAAGCGGUGGAGCAUGUGGUUUAAUUCGAAGCAACGCGAAGAUCUUACCAGGUCUUGACAUCCUCUGACACC